AAAAAAUUUAACAUGACAAUUCUGUACAUGUUUGUCUUUCCAGCUCUAUUCAACUCUGGAAAUACAGUCCAUUUGGAACUUGAUAGCACUUUCGAGUUUUAUAGGAUGUCAGCUUUCUUAAAGGUACCCAGACACCCUCUGACCAACCUAUCGGAGACAGUUUCCAGAGCCUGGCUGAUGGAAGAGACGGG
rnacentral:lncRNA from 1 species